CCCCCGCAGCCGCAGGCACCCCCACAGCAGGCGGCCCAGCCCCAGGUGCAGGCGGAGCAGCAGCAGCAGAUGUACAGCUACUGAGCUGCGUUCCGGGAGACUCGGGGCAAGAACUGCAGAGGGAUGUUUGGGAUUUGUUUAGAUGUGUUUGCUGGAUACCAAACAAACAAAAAGUCAUACAUUGCAAUGUAAGGUUGACUUAGCUUUGCAGAGUAUCUCCAGAUCCCCCGCCAGCAACCCUUACGGUCUGUCAGCUUAACUCUAGAAGGGACCUCUGGCAGGCCAGAGUUUUAAACUGGAUGGGGCUCCACACCAUGCCUUACCAAGGCAGUAAGUCCUGGGCCGGGGCCGCAUCUGCCUCCCCUUACAGGACCAGUGUUCGCCCGACACAGGGUUCGGGAAAGUGAAGCUAAGAGAGAAGCAGGAUUUUAAGAGGCAGGAGAUAAGUUAUUAGGAACACAAAUGGUUCAUUUUCUUUUUUCUUAGGAGUGAGCCUCCCUGCUGCCCCCAGGGGCUCCUCCGGGUUGUCUCAGGAUUCUCUGCAAUCCAAAUGUAUCCAUUCUGGCUGAAGCUGGCAUCCAAAGGCGGAAGGCUCAUGGCUUCCCCACUAGAGGCGGCGUCUUGGGCUUUCCCAUUGGAUUGUGAAAGGCAUUAAGACUGUUUGGAGAUGUUGGCUGUAUUUCCUGUCACAUCAGGUUGUAUGAUGAUGAAUAAAAGGCGCUGUGACCCGUGUUUUCAAUUGCUGGCCUUCUGCUCCCGCUGCCUGUUAGGGA
rnacentral:lncRNA from 1 species